GUGAAUUUUGCAGCUACCGUAGCUACCUCCACAAAAAUUAGGGGUGGGAAAAAUAAUCGUUCCUUAGAUGCAUCGCGAUGUUCUCUAGAACGAUUCGAUGCUCGAUUCUGAUAAGUUAAUAAUUGAUUAAAAAAGAA